GGGGCCAUAGCUCAGCUGGGAGAGCGCCUGCCUUGCACGCAGGAGGUCAGCGGUUCGAUCCCGCUUGGCUCCAC
rnacentral:tRNA from 1 species